CGGAGUGUGGCUCAGCUUGGUCAGAGCGCUUGGUUAGGGACCAAGAGGUCGCUGGUUCGAAUCCAGUCACCCCGA
rnacentral:tRNA from 1 species